rnacentral:misc_RNA from 1 species
ACGGUUUGCUUCAGUCGCUUGCCAGAACCGCACGGAGCCAGUAGUCCAAGAACGCGGGAUACCAUCAUCGCUGUACCACAUACAAGUUAAUUGCGACAAUGUCGGCCAGGCAAUACUACCACGUGCAGUGCACCCCAACGGUGUACCCUGCCGAACCUUUCAACCCUGAAGAAGAUGCUGCUCUCCUUCGAACCGCCAUGAAGGGUUUCGGUACCGACGAACAAACCAUCAUCGACGUCCUCGCCCAUCGCGGUAUAGUGCAGCGUCUCGAAAUUGCCGACAAAUUCAAAACGAUGUACGGAAAAGAUUUGAUAUCCGAAUUGAAAUCGGAACUCGGUGGUAACUUCGAAAAGGCUAUCUUAGCGUUAAUGACACCGCUGCCGGAGUAUUACGCUAAAGAACUCCAUAAUGCAAUUUCCGGUAUGGGCACGGACGAAGGAGCUCUCAUCGAGGUGCUAGCAUCGCUCAGCAAUUAUGGCAUCAAGACCAUAUCUGCCGUUUACAAGGAACUGUACGGAAAUGAAUUGGAGGAUGACUUGAAAAGCGACACGUCCGGCCAUUUUAAGAGGCUUUUGGUUUCUCUCUCUUGCGCUAACAGAGAUGAGAACCCCGAUGUUGACGAAGAAGCUGCAAUCGAAGACGCUAAAAGAUUGCAAGAGGCUGGUGAAGGUCAAUGGGGAACCGACGAAAGCACAUUCAACGCAAUCCUCAUAACUAAAAGUUAUCCUCAAUUGCGAAAGAUUUUCGAGGAAUACGAACGUCUUGCUGGAGUUAGUUUAGAAGAAACUAUUAAGAGCGAAUUUUCAGGAGCAAUUGAAGAUGGUUACCUCGCAGUCGUCAAAUGUGCUCGAAAUAAGACAGCGUACUUCGCGGAAAGAUUAUACAAAGCUAUGCGUGGCCUUGGUACCGACGAUUCCACGCUGAUACGUAUUAUUGUAACACGAUCAGAAAUAGAUUUGGGUGAUAUUAAGGAAACUUAUCAAAUUAUGUACGGACAGUCUCUCGCAGGAGAUAUUGACAGUGACUGCGGCGAAGAUUUUAAGAGGCUUUUGAUUGCACUUUUGAGUUAAAUCUAUGGAAGGGAAUAUCCGUUCGCAUUAAUUCUAUUUCAAAACUACAACAUUGGUCAUCUGUUUCUAACAUCAAGCGAUUGCGACGCUGAGUGGAAAAAGCUUUUGAUCGCGAUGCUGAAUUAGGAACACGUUUUAAUAGCGUUUCAUUCAAUGUCUAAAUGAUAGUUCGAAAAAAGUACAGGACGAGGAAAUAAAUUCCAGCUACUAGACACCGAGGAACCAUUAUGUUUUCAGCGCUGAACAUUGCGGACCUUUGUGUUACGAAAACGUUAAGAAGGAAAACAUAAAGGCAAAAAUACAAGUUGAAUAAAUAUACUUCGUUCAGAUUAAGUCAGUGGUUCUCAAACUGUGCGUUUAGGUGCCUUAGGGGCACUAGCGUAUUUAGUGUAUUAGUCUGGUAAUAUGUAGUAAGAGUGACAGAAUUAUUUUGGCAAAUUCUUAUUUGAGGAAAUUUCGAUUUAGAAAUUUUGAUAUUCGGUAAUUUAUUCAUUUUUGGGAUUACCAAUUUUGAGAAUGUGGAAUUAUGUAACUUUGGAAUUGAGAAGUUUAGAAUUUUGGGUAUUAAAGUAUUACAGAAUUUACGAAUCUUUAUUAAAGUAUUAAAGAAUUUAGGAAUCUGGAAGUGUGAGAAUUUGAAAAUUGAAAGAAUUAGAGAUUUGGAAAUUAUAAAAACUUGAAGAUCUGAUUUUUUAAAUACUUGAAGGUUAGAAAAUAUAAGAAUUGAUAAUUUAAAAAAUGGGUCGGACAAAUUAUGACAUGCCAAGAACACUAUAUAACUAGUUUGAGAACCACGAAAUAAACUUCCUCUUAAAUGUAAUCACUUAUGUUUUUUAUGAAAUAUAGCACAUAUAAUAUUUUGUAACAAUUUUUUUUCACUUUUUCUGUUUGUUUUUAAUGCGAUUGAUACAAAACAUUCCACAUUAUAUUAUUUAUUAUUGACUGUUAUUAUCUUUGCUAUUCGUAAUGAAUAAAUUUAAGAUAAGAAGAAUUGUACACCGUGCUGUUUUACAUUGCUAGUCUAAAAUAAAUGUUGUUAAUUUUAAAAUAAAGAUGAAAGCUUCGGUUCAAGAUAUAAGUUGGGAGAAUGUUUAGUUUUCCUUGGACAAAAUGAUAAAAUGGAAGUCAUCGAUAAAAAGGGAAGUACCAAAAUGAUAAUAAUCAUCAUCAUAUUAUAGCGCAGAAACAUGUCCGUGAGUUACUCUGAGACCUUGUACGCAUGCUUGAAAACAAGGCAGGAAAAUAUUAUAUUUGUGCUCUUACAACGAUAGUACAGUAAAUCCUUAUUAAGGGACACUUUUUAAGGGAUACAUAAAAACUAAUUACGUCAUCAUUGAGAGUGCUGUAGCUGCUUUCUCUUUGACUACUCUGUUAAAAUUUACUGUGCAUAUCUAUCUUUUAUGGUUUAGGACUGCACAGGGUGUCAAGGUUAACCAAUUAAUUCUUUGUGCAUGUCACAGGCGUUCCACAACUUAGUAAUUACAUGAUUAAACAAUAUGUUUAAUUAAGUCAUGCACUGUAUGAAAAGUGGUAAAAAUAAAGAAAAAUUUAUCAACAA